rnacentral:lncRNA from 1 species
ACCUUGUUACCCAGGAUGGGACAUUUCUUUUUACUGCUUCAUUAUCUGGAAGUCGGCAAGUAUAUUUUUGAAUUCCAAAAGCUACCUACCUUCCUUCCUUCCUUCCUUCCUUCCUUCCUACCUACCUACCUUCCUUCCUUCCUUCCUUCUUUCUUUCUCUUUCUUUCUUUUUCUCUCUUUCUCUCUUUCUUUCUCUCUCUUUCUCUCUCUUUCUCUCUCUUUCUCUUUCUUUUCUCUUCCUUCCUUCCUUCCUUCCUUCCUUCCUUCCUUCUUUCUUUUCUUUCUUUCUUUCUUUUUUCUGUCUUCUUUUUUUUUCUUUCCAAGACGGAGUCUCGCUUUGUCGCCAGGCUAGAGUUCAGUGGUGCGAUUUCAGCUCACUGCAACCUCUGCCUUCCAGGUUCAAGCAAUUCUCCUGCCUCAGCCUCCUGAGUAGCUGGGACUACAGGCGCGUGCCACUAAUUUUUGAAUUCUUAGUAGAGACGGGGUUUCACCAUGUUGGCCAGGAUGGUCUCGAUCUCUUGACCUUGUGAUCUGCCCGCCUCGGCCUCCCAAAGUGCUGGGAUUACAGGCGCAAGCCACUGUGCUCGGCCAGAAUUACCUUAUUUCAUAAAGGUCUAGGUAUUCAGCGUUAGGUUUUUAAACGCAUUCACAAUUGGUGUUUCUUCCUGUUUUUGUAAGCACUGGGAAAGGUAACUCAAGUGUCUAAGUCACUGUGGUAACACAUGGCACCCUCUUGGCAAAUGCACAGAACAUUUCUGAGCCUGCUGGAGUGUGUGUCCUGUGUAUGUCGCCGCUCCUUUUAGUGAUGAUCUUUAAUGAUCCUUUAUCUUUCUGUACUUUUUUUCCUACUAAUUCUUUAUACUUGUAUGCUUUGCCUUCUCUUAAGCGAAAUUAAAUUUACAAGCUUAAUAUUGACUUAGCACAAAUUUGUCAGUCUUACUGGAAAAUGAGUUAAAUACACUGGGACCCAGAAAUGAAAACAACUUAUUUUUGUAUGUACAUGUGGCGAAACUACAACCCAGGGAAACAAGUGUGCAGUCUCGCAAAACUAUCAUGACUAGCAAGGUUGAUCUGAGAGUAACUUUUUACUCUAGUCAAAUGGCAAAUAUCUAUGUUCUACUUCUUACAUCUUAAUUUUGCACAAAUAGAGAUUCAUUGUUUUGUUAGGCUUAUCUCAUUUAAAGGUAACUUAGAAUUUGAAAUGCUGAAGCUGUUUCACAGUAUAGUAGACAAUAAGCACUUCCGCUGUUUUCCCGUG